rnacentral:rRNA from 1 species
GAUGAACGCUGGCGGCGUGCCUAAUACAUGCAAGUCGAGCGAACGGACGAGAAGCUUGCUUCUCUGCUGUUAGCGGCGGACGGGUGAGUAACACGUGGAUAACCUACCUAUAAGACUGGGAUAACUUCGGGAAACCGUAGCUAAUACCGGAUCAUAUUUUGAACCGCAUGGUUCAAAAGUGAAAGACGGUCUUGCUGUCACUUAUAGAUGGAUCCGCGCUGCAUUAGCUAGUUGGUAAGGUAACGGCUUACCAAGGCAACGAUGCAUAGCCGACCUGAGAGGGUGAUCGGCCACACUGGAACUGAGACACGGUCCAGACUCCUACGGGAGGCAGCAGUAGGGAAUCUUCCGCAAUGGGCGAAAGCCUGACGGAGCAACGCCGCGUGAGUGAUGAAGGUCUUCGGAUCGUAAAACUCUGUUAUUAGGGAAGAACAUAUGUGUAAGUAACUGUGCACAUCUUGACGGUACCUAAUCAGAAAGCCACGGCUAACUACGUG